ensembl:lncRNA
CCCCCAUCCACAUCGAUGGAACAGUAGUGGAGAGGGUAGCAAGUUUUAAGUUCCUCGGCAUACACAUCACAGACAAACUGAAUUGGUCCACUCACUCAGACAGCAUCGUGAGGAAGGCGCAGCAGCGCCUCUUCAACCUCAGGAGGCUGAAGAAAUUUGGCUUGUCACCAAAAGCACUCACAAACUUCUACAGAUGCACAAUCGAGAGCAUCCUGGCGGGCUGUAUCACCGCCUGGUAUGGCAACUGCACCGCCCUCAACCGUAAGGCUCUCCAGAGGGUAGUGAGGUCUGCACAACGCAUCACCGGGGGCAAACUACCUGCCCUCCAGGACACCUACACCACCCGAUGCUACAGGAAGGCCAUAAAGAUCAUCAAGGACAUCAACCACCUGAGCCACUGCCUGUUCACCCCGCUGCCAUCCAGAAGGCGAGGAGCGCUGCAGAGAUGGUUGUCCUGGAAGGUUCUCCCAUCACCACAGAGGAACUCUGGAUCUCUGUCGAAGUGACCAUCGGGUUCUUGGUCACCACCCUGACCAAGGCCCUUCUCCCCCGAUUUCUUAGUUUGGCCGGGCGGCCAGCUCUAGGAGGAGUCAUGAUGGUUCCAAACAUCUUCCCUUUUAGAAUGAUGGAGGCCACUGUGUUCUUGGGGACCUUCAAUGCUGCAGAAAUGUUUUGGUACCCUUCCCCAGAUCUGUGCCUUGAUAAAAUCCUGUCUUGGAGUUCUACAGACAAUUCCUUCGAACUCGUGGCUUGGUUUUUGCUCUGACAUGCAUUAUCAACUGCGGGACCUUAAACAGACAGCUGUGUGCCUUUCAAAAUCCUGUCCAAUCAAUUGAAUUUACCACUAGUGGACUCCAAAUAAGAAACAUCUCAAGGAUGAUCAAUGGAAACAGGAUGCACCUGAGCUCAAUUGUGAGUCUCAUAGCAAAGGGUCUGAAUACUUGUGUAAAUGUCUUAUGUUUUCCAUUUUAAAAUUAGGCUGUAACAUAACAAACUGUGGAAAAAGUGAAGGGCUCUGAAUACUUUCUGAGUUAUUGUUUAAUAAUCAUUUUGAAAUACUCCUAUCAUUCUAGUAUUGUCACGUCUACUUCCGCUCCCCCUCUACGGCGCUCGACGUCACCAGUUUACCUACUUUCUUUCAUUGUCCAGUAGUCCAAUGCACAAUCCUAGUCAUAUCUGCAACCCAUGCUAGUUGUUGCAUCUUUAGAUCUCCCAUUUUUCUAAAUUUCUAAGAAUAUUUUCAUCUCUUUCACAUGAAACUGCUGGCAUGUGCAGUGCACUUUUGACAUUGGUGUUUUCCCGCUAAUUGCAUUAAGGAAAGAACAUUCCUGUGUAGCAGACUGACAUGUGCGCAUUUCUGCGCUUAAAAUGUGAAGAAUAAUAGCUUAUCAACAUUUUAAGCUAGAUGUUCAGAUCUGUUGCAUCACCCUCAUUGCUUAUUAAAGUUUUUGUUGAUGUA